rnacentral:tRNA from 1 species
GGGGUUGUGACUUAGUGGUAGAGCACUCAUCUAGCAUGUGUGAGGCCCUGGGUUCAAUUCUCAGCACCACA